GCUAACUGGGUGCCAGCAGCCGGGGGAAUACGAAGGUGGCAAGCGGUGUUCGGAGUGACUGGGCGUACAGGGAGCGUAGGCGGUUGGAUAAGCCCUCCGUGAAAUCUCCAGGCUUAACCUGGAAAGUGCAGAGGGGACUGUUCAGCUAGAGGAUGGGAGAGGAGCGCGGAAUUCCCGGUGUAGCGGUGAAAUGCGUAGAGAUCGGGAGGAAGGCCGGUGGCGAAGGCGGCGCUCUGGAACAUUUCUGACGCUGAGGCUCGAAAGCGUGGGGAGCAAACAGGAUUAGAUACCCCAGUAGUC
rnacentral:rRNA from 1 species